GACGAACGCUGGCGGCGUGCUUAACACAUGCAGUCGAGCGGUAAGGCCCUUUCGGAGGUACACGAGCGGCGAACGGGUGAGUAACACGUGGGUGACCUGCCCUUAGCUCUGGGAUAAGCCUGGGAAACUGGGUCUAAUACCGGAUAUGACUCCAUGACGCAUGUUGUGGGGUGGAAAGCCUUGUGCGGCUAGGGAUGGGCCUGCGGCCUAUCAGCUUGUUGGUGGGGUGANGGCCUACCAAGGCGACGACGGGUAGCCGGCCUGAGAGGGCGACCGGCCACACUGGGACUGAGACACGGGCCCAGACUCCUACGGGAGGCAGCAGUGGGGAAUCUUGCGCAAUGGGCGAAAGCCUGACGCAGCAACGCCGCGUGGGGAUGACGGCCU
rnacentral:rRNA from 1 species